ensembl:lncRNA
CAAUGGGUGGGCUACGUGAGUGUGCGGGUACCUAGAGUGUGUGUGGGGGGGUGGUCUGGAGCCACCUCUUCUGUCUCUGCAAUACUUCCUGUGCAAUUUGAGUCUGCACAGGUCCCCCUUUUCCCCCGCCCUUCUCUCCGGUGACGCAACAGUACGAAUGGGGGAGGGUCACAUUUCUCAGCUCGUCCCUUUCUGCAAACUGUUACCAGAAGGGGUCAUAUUCACCUUCAUGUUAGUGUCGCCAAGCAACUUGUCCAAGGUUCCCUGGAGAGCAAUAUUCAGCCGAGGAGCAGCAUGGAUGAGGCAACACACCAGUAUGAUUACUAGUAGCCAAAGCCAUUUAAUAACUGCACACAGCCAUUUAUAUAGAGCAGUACAAAUAACGUGCUAAGUACAACAAGGCACGGUUCUCAUAACUAGCAGUUGCUUGCAGCUUGUCUCAUGGCACCUGGCACAGAGGUCUCUAUCACAGCUCUGCAUUCCUUUCGCUUACUCCCAUCGUUGUUUUGUGUGCGACAGUGAUCUAUAGCAGCUGUUUUGCUCACAGUGACCCAGGAAAAGAUAAACAUGACCUCCCUGGGUCAGCUGUCCAUCCACAAUGUUAGCAAAUAUUUUCUUUGAACUCUUUGAACUCUUGAACUUUUUGAAAAUUGUAUGUGGUCUCUUUGUCUGACAUGUGUCGUGCACAUUUGUGCUGAAUAAACUAAUGACAUGACAGCAGCACACUAUAUAAUUCAGACGUCAGAACUGUGUAUUUGCUAAACAAGGGAGGCAAAAAUUUAAUAUCAUUUUAUACCUUUAAUUGAAAUAAGUUGUAAGCAUAAUGUAUAGCUUUAGAGUUUUCUCACCUGUGGGUUGUACUUUUGUCAAGUUUGUAAUGCUAAAGGAUAGGAAAAAAUGCAGGGAUUUAGUCUUAGAGAAUUUUACAUGUCUAUUCUAACCUUAGGAAGGCAUUCUCAUACCCAUUUUUUUUACCCCAAAGUUUCAUCAGCUACUCAGAUAUACAGUAACCGUGACCACACAUCAAAGACGUUGCCAUUGACAUUGCUCUUCCUAAGACAUGCCUCACUGGCCACUGUCACAGCUGUUCGGCUUUCUGUCCUGACACUGGAUAGCAGCUCUUAUUAAAACACCGACAUUACUUUAAACUCAUGUAUAUUCCAACUCCACGUCUUUUUUAAUCUGUGACCUUUUGUGACUACCAGAUCUGCCAUUCAUGAUUCUUUUCAAAAAAAUCCAGUUUAAUCUCCCAUUUUCAUGUGUGGAGAAAACUUCUAGUUGUCUACAUAAUUUUGCUAUGAGCUGCUCUGUGUACACUGCGAAAAGAGUUUUUGGGAUCUAAUUUUAUAGGAACUGUUUUGCCUGGGUCUUGAUUCUUUACAGCAUAGAGAAAUAGCGGGGUUAAAUAUGCAUUUAUCAUAGAAUCAUAGAAUCGCUAAGGUUGGAAAAGACCCACAGGAUCAUCCAGUCCAACCAUUCGCCCUUCACCAAUGGUUCUUGCUAAACCAUGUCCCUCAACACAACUCUUUAAACAUCAACAGGCUGAGUGACUCCACUACCUCUCUGGGCAGCCCAUUCCAGUGCCUGACCACCCUUUCAGAGAAGUAGUAUUUCCUAACGUCCAGCCUGAAUCUUCCCUGGGUCAGCUUGAAGCCAUUAAACAAUGAAUAAUGAGAAAGAACAGGAUUAUAAUUGUUUACCUUCUAGACUAAGUCAGAUGCUGUAGUUUGUUUUGUUUUGUUUGCUUGGUUGCUUGUUUAUUUGUAAGAAGAAAGUUAGAAUUUAAGCACUUUGGGCACACAUCAUUCUGGCUGACAAACACUUUGUAAUUUGUUUUAUCACUAUUCCUUAGAAAGUUAAUCAUUCACUGAUUUACUAGAAACUCUUAGAUGUUAGAGGUGGUGCUUUAUUUAUGGCAUGAUGGAGAAGAUACUCUCCUUUUCUCAUGUCAAAAUAUCUUAGACUUGUUUGAGUUAGAAUGGACACUUAAAGGUCACCUGAUCCAAGUCCUUUGCAAUGAACAGGGAUAUCUACAGCAUAAUCAGGGUGCUCAGAGCCCCAUCCAGCCAGACAUUUAAUGUAUGCAAGGACAAGGCAUCCAUAGCCUCUCUGAGCAUCCCAUUGCAGUGCCUCACCAACCUUACUGUAAAAAACUUUUUCCUUGUGUCCAGUCUAAUUCUCUCCUCUUUUUGUUUGAGAUCAUUUCCCCUUGUCCUGUCACCACAGACCCUGUUACAGAGUCUCUCUUCUUCCUUCUUACAGACCCUCUAGAUACUGAAAGGCCACUCUCAGGUCUCCCCGGAGCCUUCCCUGUUCCAGGCUGCACAGUCCCAGCUCUCGCAUCCUGUCCUUGUAGGAGAGGUGUUCCAUCCCUCUGAUCAUUUUUGUGGCCCUCCUCUGGAUGCAUUCCAACAGGUCCAUGUCUCUCCUGCACUGAGGACUCCACAUCUGGACACAGGAUUCCAGGUGAUACGGGUGAUGACACAGGUGAUAUCUUACCAGUGCAGAACAAAAGGGCAGGACCAUUAUGUUCUUUCUUCUACUCUAGAAAGCUAGGCUCUCUGUUAGGAGAAAACUAUACCUGUUCUCAUUAUGUGAAUUGUUUAUACACCUGAAACUCCCAAAUUAUGCCAUAAUCAUGUAUGUCAGGUAGCCUUAUAAUGAAACAAGCUGCAUGAGAGUUCUUAUCUCCUUGCAAGUAUGUAGCAUAAUUUUUCCUAUUCCUUAUCAGAUGCUGAUAAAUCUUUUUCUUCAUUCACAGAUGACCAACACUUGAUCCACUUGAUCUUUCCUUUUUUUCUUUUUUUUUUUUUUUUUUUUUUUUUUUUGUAAGAUGUAAUAAUUAGUCUUCAUAAUAGUUGGAAUUUAUUAUGGAAAGAAUACCCUUGAUAAAUUCCUGGUUACACAGUUUUAUCAAAAUAUUUGAUCUCUGGAACUCAGCCAGUGAUAUCAAACCUGAAGAUUACUUGGAUGUUUCUCUUAAAUAGUGUAUUUCAAAUUGUUCUUCUCACAGAGUAUUUACACAACUAUUUCUGCUAUUCCCACAACACCAAUUAGAGGUUUCUUACUGAAUUUCUUUUGACUGUGAAUAUUUAUGAAAAAUUAUGAAAUUCAAGAGUGUUUAUUACAGUAUAUUAUCCACAGCAUUUUGUUGUGUUAUAGCUUGUUUGUUGAAACUGUUCAUCUUUUCAGUCUUAUUUAUUGCUGGGAGAUUCUGCAGGAGAACUUAAGACUGAAUAGCCGUGAUCACUGUCAUAUCUAGUUCUUUGCUAGAACAAUGUUGAGGAAUGUAUAAUCCUUUCCCAAAUUUAGCCUAUCUUAAAAUUCUUUGAUGCCUUUAUUUAAUACUUUUGAACAUUGUCUCAAAACACCAUUAUUUUAACAGAAUAAUUUCCAAACUAAUUUUGGUUAUGGCCAGUGCAGCCCUUUUUAUUGUAUGACAUUUUUAUCCCACUCCUUUUAAUGACAGUGUCAGCAUGUAGUAUUUCAAUGUUGUAUCAGCAUAAUAGAUCAUAAUGAUCUUAGCUACUGUAUGGGAACUGUUGAAUUAUGACCUGAACCUCUGAUUGACCACCUGAGGCAAGCACUGAGUCAGCCGUGGGAGCACAGGUGAAGGCAAUUCACGUGUGUGACUGGAAGGGAUGGAGCCUGGCUCCACCUCUCCUAGGCCCCAUUUAAGGGCUGACUGCCACUGAGGAAGGAACUCUUUCUGGAGAUUGCUUCCUUUGGAGUUUUUCUGUAAGCCUAGGAGAUGGGUGACCAUUUUAUUUUCAAUUAUCCCUUUCUACCAUAAUAAUCUUUCUAGUUAUAUAGUUUGUAGAUACCAGCCUAACCUCACCACUCUGUAUACUUGUUGAUUGUACAGCUUUAAGACCUCACAAUCUGUAUGCUACUUCUCUUGGUUCUCUAGGAUGGAGAAUCGAAUACCUGAUGAUGGAGUUAAUUCCAUCUCAGGUAGAACAGCUUUCACAUCAGUAUUAUAAGCUAGCUCUAUUAUUUCACCUUGUAUUAGUUCUGUCUUGCUGAGUUUGAUGAUCAUAUGCAGUGCUAUGUUUUGUGAGUAUAGCAAAUUUAGGAACUAGAUACAGCAGUGUACUUUAAAUAGUAGCUGUGAUGUUGUAUAGUCAACAAAUAUGCAGAGUGGUGUGGUCAGAUUAGUAUCCACUGAUCAUAAAGCUAGAGAGAUUAUUGCACUGGAAAGGGAUAAUUAGAAACAAACAGAAAAUGCUCACUUGAGUUGUAGGCUUGCAGGAAAAACUCCAAGAGGAGUGAUCUCUAGGAAGAGAUCCUUCCCCAUUACAGUUGCCUUUUCUUCCACACGACCAGCCCAAAUAUGUCAUCAAGAAACACAGUGAAAGUGUCCAAAAUGUCUCUACUCCCUGACCUGGCAGCCUUGGCUGGGGAGCAGACUAAACCCCCCACAAUUCAGGAGGAAACAGUCAGAGACCUCCUACUCCAACUGGACUGCCACAAGUCCAUGGGACCGGAUGAGAUUCACCCGAGAGUGCUGAGGGUACUGGCAGAGGUACUAACCGAGCCACUUUCCAUCAUCUAUCAGCGCUCCUUGUUGAUGGGUGAGGUCCCAGAAGACUGGAGGCUUGCCAAUGUGACUCCCAUCUACAAGAAGGGUUGUAAGGAGGAUCAGGGGAACUACAGGCCUGUUAGCCUGACCUUGGUGCUGGGGAAGAUCAUGGAGCAGAUUGUCUUGAGGGAGAUAACACAACAUGUGCGGGACAACUGGGGGAUCAGGCCUAGCCAACAUGGGUUCGCAAAUGGCAGGUCCUGCUUGACCAACCUGAUCUCCUUCUAUGAUCUAGUGACCCAUGUGGUGCAUGAGGGAAAGGCUGUUGAUGUAGUCUACCUAGACUUCAGCAAAGCCUUUGACACGAUCUCCCACAGUAUUCUCCUGCAGAAGCUGGCAGCCUGUGGCUACCUGAAGGGAGGUUGUAUUGAGCUGGACGUCAGCCUCUUCUCUCAUGUGACUAGUGAUAGGACUAGAGGGAAUGCCUUCAAGUUGCACCAGGGCAGGUUCAGGCUGAACGUUAGGAAAUACUACUUCUCUGAAAGAGUGGUCAGGCACUGGAAUGGGCUGCCCAGAGCGGUGGUGGAGUCACUGACCCUGGAGGUGUUCAAGGAAUGUUUGGAUGUUGUGAUGAGGGACAUGGUUUAGUGAGAAGUAUUGGUGAUGGGUGGAUGGUUGGACUGGGUGAUCCUGUGGGUCUUUUCCAACCUUGGUGAUUCCAUGAUUAUAUGAUCUGAAUUUAAAUAUAAAUACUUUUCCUAAUGCUAUCACAGGAUCACUGGUACUAAAAUUCUUAAUAUCAGUGCAUGUGUUUGUAAGAUUUUAGUUUGUAUCUUAAGUAUUUUGACACUUUAAUUAUUACACACAUAGAGAAACCUAAAAUGAAGUAAUAAUUCUGCUAUAGUUGUUCAAAGAAAGAAAUUCUAGUUUGGUAGCAAUUUUCAUUUUCUUCCCAACCUAAUCAAGUCUCAUAAAAUCAUACUGUCUUAGAAAAUGUAUAACCAUGAUGAAGUCCUUUUUGUUCAUUUUGAUAGAGAAGAUCUUCAUAAAGCCCAAAACGCACACAAGGAAGGCAUAAAAAAAUCCUGAAAGCUGUAUUUUCAGCUUUCAUUGUGGGGAAUCUAGGUCUGUAUACAUCAUUAUCAACAAAAGAUUUUUACUACUGGCUUGUUGUCCAUGGAGAAAUGAAAUCAAAGAAAUUCUCUACUAUGGCAGUAGACAAGGCAGAAGAGCAGACCCCAUAUUAAUUCUGCUUGCUCUUUAAUUUCAGGAAGUCUGAGGCUUAUGGACAUGUUCAGGCAGGAGCUUUGUGUGAUCUCAGAGUAGCUGAAGGGCAUCAGAUGCCCUAUUUCUGCCACUAAGACGCGCCUCAGCAGACAAGUAACAGAUUAUAAAACUCAGACAGGAUUUUUCAGUCAUGCAUUUUUACUGUAUCCAUCAACCAACCACAUGAUUUUAAAGAGCAUAAAAAUCCCUUGUACCAGAGGAUUUUGAAGCAUAGAUAAUACUGUAGAAACUUGCUGUACUGCCAUUUUUACACAAAUAAUUGGGCAUAGAGUUGUACGUUGUACAGAAGAAAAAAAAAUAUCGCAUACUACCACACUGGAUGUAUAAUAUCAGGUUAAAAUUGUAAUAACCCAUCUCUGUCUUUACUGAAAUUGAAAACAAAAAAAUACUGUUUGAGAUGAAAAAAAAAAAAAAAGAAAGAAAAAGAAAAAAAAAAAGAAAUUGAACACCUGCAAUACAUUAUUGGGUUAUAUUGUAGCUGGUAUGUCUGCAAUUUGAAUUCUCUUUCUGUUCCACUUCAUAUUCAUUGCUGUGUAAAUCAAGUCUGUUUGCUAAGAUGAGGACCUUCCAUUUUGUGUUGUUUUAUUCUAAAAAAUCUGGUUGCGUACUUACCAUUCCCUGCAACUUCUUACAAAAUACAGCCAUUUCUUCUGUCUUACUUUCUCUCUUUCUUCCAAAUGGAUAAUUGCAUUGUUGAUGACUUGCAAAAAUUCUUGAUUUAUAUCUGUAAACUGUAAUCUGUCCAUUUGGGUGAUGAAGACUGAGAGAUGUAGGAAGCAUAGAGAUCAGGGAUGUGUGUACAUUCCCUUGGUUGUGGUCUGAUUCUAGCUGGGCUGCAGCCCUGAGAGAGAAAGGUGUGACAUGCUUGGAAGAUGAUCUCAGAGUGGAAAACAAUUUGCUUAUGGGCAAGGGCAAUUAUAACUACAGAGAAAGCAGAUAUGGGAUCAGUGGGCAUAAAGGAUGCUUUUGCUGUUAGUGCUCCUGGCGUUAUCAGUGAAGGUAGUUUGUGCAACUAGGUGUUCUGUGAUCUACUGUAGUGUUAGAAGCUUGUGUCAUAUCCUGUUUGCUGCUGAGGAGGGAAUUGUUUCAUAAGUUGAUCUAAGACUUUAUUAAGCAGUGUAUUUCUCCUUUCUUCCUCUUCCCAUAAACUAGUACAUUUUGUUUCCACAACUGAAAAGAAAGCUAGAUGACUUGUUUUAUGAAGAACAAAUAUUGAUGCUCUUUGCAUAUUUCUAAAAAAAAAAUCUUUUUUUUAAAGUUUCCCAAGAAAAUUGAUUUCUAACUAGUAAUGGUUUAAUUAAUCAGAUAUGCCAUAUCUCUCCUGUUCCUUCUCUUUUUCUCUCUUUAUCUCUGCAGUGCUAAAUUUGCUGCAGUAUAUGUGGUCAUUUACUCUUGCUAUUAAAAGAAUAAUGACAUUAUUUCAAUUGAUUAUUAAAAAAAUUGUAGGGAUUGUUUCAUUCAUUUUCUACUUUCUCAUCUUGUGUUCCUGGCAUUUACAAAAACAAUAGCAUUAGUGAAAAUUUACUUUUUAAUUAUUACUGCAUCUGUUCCUUUUUACUGACUGAUGUGGCAAAGGAGUCAGUCCUGCUGUUGCGACUGAUCACUUGCCAUAGCAAUUUAAUUUCUGUGAAGUUUGGAGGGGGAACUGAAAUGAACAAACUUAUUCUGUAUUGUUUUUGGAAGUCUUUUCAGUCUUGAAGAAGUACCUUUUAUUUUGUUGUGCAUAAUUAAUGCAUCAAGCCACUUCACACAUAGGACAUGACUCUACCUACAUUUGAGUGCAUUUGAACUCAUGCCUUUCUUAAAAGAUCCCUAUUAUAACAGUGUAUUUUACUAAUGUGUGACAGUUCACUUUAGAUUGUUGCUGACAUGCUCGGGCAGUGUUUUUCUUGGUCAGUAAUUUAGCUGUGAGUCAGGAGCUCGGACCCAUAUGGCUUGAACAAAAAAGCUAGUGAGCAUUUACAGCAAGAUUGCUUUUUAGUUACUUAGGAAUACACUAAGCUAAGGUUUUCACUUUCUGUUAUGAAUUGUUUCUUUUUCUUUCUUUUUUUGGUAUAUUUUUUGAGGGUUUCUUAUGUCUGAUUUUUUUUUCUAAACCUUUUUUACACUUGCUUUAUUUAUUCUAUAGCUAUUUAUUCUUAACCAAAGACAUACAUUCAGAUAUAUGACAAAGAUUUUUUGAUGGAAGAAAAUCAUAUGAAGGCUCUGUUAUGGCAGCUGUUUCUGUUUUUAUCCUAUAAGUUUAACUCCCACAUCCUAGCCAAGAUGGAACUUAUACCUGUAUAGUCCCUGCUCAAAACACUGUCCUGUUUCACCUGAAAGUAGCUACAAUCUGCAGCCUGUGUGACAGGAGCUGGAAUGUGGCAGAUACAGAAGCACAGACAAGAUUAUAAACUCUGUCUUAGGCUCUCUCUUACUUAUGCUCCCUCUUUACUAGCAUUACAGUGCAUAAUACCUAGUCUGCUGUCCUCUCAGGUCUUCCCUGACCCAUAUGAGCAAAACUGUUGAUAUUUUGAGUUUUAUGAAAUUUGAAAAUAAGGAUGGAACACACAAAAAGACAAAUUCUGAACAUUUUAAGGAAAACAUGUUGUUUAGCAUAGAUACUCUUUAAUGCAAGGAUUUUUGAAGGAAAUCUUUAACAUAUUCCACCUUUUCCCCAAAUGUAUUCUACUAAGGGAAUAACUAUAAGCUAUUUGUUGGAAACAUCUGUUCUGUGUCUGUGAUGAGAGCCCAGAUUCCAUCAGAAUAUGACUUUGAACAUCCAGUGUUCAUAGCAGGUCUGGCAGGACAUUUUGUAUAUUCAUUAAACAGCAGUUGUAAAUAUUCACUGAUGUGCCUGUGUCAUGCCAGAGAGCAGUACAUCUCUCCUUCUAUGCUUGUAAAACCUACGAUGCUUGGGUGAGCAGGCACAUACAUUUAAUUUGUUUGUUUUUUGAACAAAGAUAAGAAUGAAGAUAAAGAAUGUUUCUACCCCAGGAAACAUCACAUGUAGUUAUGCCAUUAAAAAUACUUUCUUCCAAGAAGAUAAAUAACUCUUUAUCAUCUAAACCAGAUACUUUCAUUUUUCAAUUGACUCUAUUGUAUACCUGGAAGACUACUUAGAAGCACAAAUGCAGAUUAUUUUUCCAUUCUCACUGAAAACCCAAAUUUAAGCUCAACUACUACUUCACUGUGAGAAAUUAGUUUCCUUUUUUCCUUCUGUACUAACAUCCAAAAAAUACCACGAUUGCCAUGUUAGGACUAAAGUAUGCAUUUGCCAGAAACUUCCUAUACUAGAGCAGUUGAACUUAGUUAUUCAGGUCAUAUAAUAUUUUUUGACCCCAUGUUCUUCAGUUGUCUUUGUGCAUGUCAUACCGACCACAGAUGAGAAUACCAUGCUGCCAAACUGGUUAUUUCCCUUCACUGAAUUGUUAUUUAAUUGGAACUCAGAAACAGUGAGAUAGAAUACAAUGUAUUACAAUGUUAAAGGGUUUGGAAUACCAAAUAGCACUACAUCAGCGUAUCCUGGAGGAUCAGGAUGACAGCAGCAAACCAGAAAGGACUGAUUUAAACACUAUUGCAAAGCACACUUUGCAGCCCAUCACUGAGUUUGCAGGGCUUAUUUGCAAAUCUGGCUGUGUCUCUUAGAAAAGGCGUGCUGUGUCUGUUAUUGAUUUCUAUGGCUUUUUAAUCACAACUAAAGGUUGCCAUAUAAGUAUGUUUUCCUAUGGGAACAGAAAAAAAAAGAGACAUAAGUCUGAUCUUGUACUAUUUAAGAGAAGGUAUUAGAUAUAAAAGAGAUUUGCCUGUACCAAGUACUGAAUCUCACUCUGAUAAUGAGGGAAAAGUGCAUUAAAAAUAUGACCACAGGGCUUCAGAUGGUGUGAGUGAUAAAAAUUCAGUGCAACAUUGAGCCUUCUGUAGUAUAACGUUUAAAAAAAAUGCAUUUCUGAUGACAGCAGCUUAGAAAUCACUCUUCUGGGUUGUAAAGAAGCCACUCAAACAAGAACAGUGAAAUAGGUGUGGAGGUAAAGUAGUUGCAGGUGGAAAGGUAAAACAGCAGAGUGGGUAAUGACUGAGUACCUACAAUAAUACAGAAAGUCCUGAAGAAAUCUGAGUGCACUGUGUGCAUGUGAGGAAGAGUUUGAAACUGUCCUGAAGAGACCUCAGUUUUCAUACUAGAUUUCAGUGUUGCACUUCUAAUAAUUUUACUCUCAUUCCACUCUAUCCAUUCUGUCCUCUUCUGCAAAAUUUACAGACUCGUGAUUUCUUUUCUGGUAUUUGAUGUACAUGAUUAUCAGUGGAAUGAAGUUAAGGUUCACUCUCUUGCAUUGUUCUUAAUGAUUUACAUCUCAUGUACUCACUGUACUUUCUCCAACAUGUGAGUGGAGAGUAUGAGAAUCUUUUUUCCUUGCUGUAAGAAGUUUUAUCACUCUUUAAAAAAACCCCAACUUCAAGGAGUUCGCCUUCUGAGACACCUGCUUCCUGUCCCCAGAGUAAUUUUGUGCCAAGAGCACAAAGAAUAAAGUCUUACUGAUAGAACCUUGUUUCCGAGUGGUCUUUUCAAAGUGGCUCCAGUUUCUGCUGUGUAGAAGAUGAUUUGACAAAGUAGUAAUAGUCAGUAUUGUGGGAAGCCCCAUAGGAGGGACAUCUGAAUCACAAUAUUAAACAAACACAGAGGAGGAAGGAAUGUAGGUAAUCCAUUUCCCAGGAGAUGCUUCUGCAGCUGUUUUUGUUUUCCAGUGUGGGAGCCAGAAACAAUAUUUCCAUUUGGCUUUAUUAAAGUACACUGAAUUUUUUCUUCACAGAUGUUCCCACUAUUUCAAUGACAUGCUGGGAGAGGAAAAUUGUAGCAAAAUUUUCUUGCAGUGUUCAUGGAAUCAUACAAUCACAGAAUGGUUUGGGUUGAAAGGGACCCCAAAGAUCUUCAAGAUCUAACUCCCUGCCACAGACAGGGUUGCCAGCUGCUAGAUCAAGUACUGGAUCUGGUUGCACAGGGCCCCAUCCAGCCUGGCCUUAAACACCUCCAGGGACAGGGCAUCCACAGCUUCUCUGGGCAACCUGUUCAAGCACCUCACCACUUUCUCAGUAAAGAACUUCCCUUGACAUCUAUUCUGAAUCUCCUUUUAGUUUAAAACCAUUACCCCUUGUCCUAUCACCAUCUACCCAUGUAAAAAGUUGAUUUACCUCAUGCUUAUAAACUUCCUUUAAAUACUGGAAGGCUGCAAUGAGGUCUCCCUGCAGCCUUCUCUUCUCCAGACUGAACUGGAGAAGUUCAGCCUAUUUUCCCUUCCCCUUCACUUCAUCUAAAAAAAUUAUGAAGCUUUAAAAUGUUUUCCAUUAAAAACAAACAAAGAAACAAAAAAACCCAAAGAAUUAGCCAAUUUAUUAUAAAAAGGAUAAUCUCAAACUUAUCAAGUUUCUAUUAAGCUGUACCCAGUGAAAGAGAAGGUUAUAGCUAAAUGACUUACUACUUAUGGGAGAUGACAUGUUUUGCAAUGUUUCUUCCCUUGCUUAUGUUAGAGAUCAUGGUGCUUAUGAACCUCACAGAAACACAAAAUUUGUGGUAUGUUUACUUAUUUAAUACACAGUAGAGCUGCCAGAAAAUUUGGAACGUGAAUUAUUUUGUUUUGUUUUUAUUGUAAUGUCAUGUUGUUCCUAAAAAAACCUGUAACUGCUCCGCAUAGUAGCAGAAUCUUAUCACACCGUUGCACAGCAUCCUCAUGUGUGCCAUAGGGAAUAAAUAAGUUACAGAGAGAACCUGAUGGGAAGAUGUCUCAGUACAGAAAAACAGACGUAUCUGAGAACAGGAAAAAAUCAAUUUGAAGAACUGAAACUAAAACAAAAAAUGCCUUCUAAACAAUGUAUGCCAUUACAGGGAGAUAACUUCCCUUCUUCAUUCAUGCAUAGAGUUGAAUUAAUUUUCAUUUUAUUUUUUUCUUACUCUCUCUUCUCCUCGGUGAUAUAUUUGCAGUCAACAGAAUUUCCGUUUGCAGAUAGGGGUAUUUGUAAGAUAAAUCAUGUUCAUUUUCAUUUCACUGUUUCAAGACAAUUACAUCAGAGAAUGAUUUUAAGCAACAACAAAAACAAAUAGACAAAUAAUAAUAAUUAAAACAAACAAACAAAAAAAACAAAAAACAACUGAGGAGCCAACACAAACAGCUAGUGGGAAUGAUUGAUUGUUACUUAAAAGUUUAAGUCAGUUUAUGUAGAGGAAGAUCCCACAAGCAUGAUGAGAUUAUGAUUCAAAUUAAGAAUAGAUAGCCGUAUCUGAAUUGUAUGACUAAUUUAUCACAUUUGAUGAUAUUACAGUUGAUAAUUUCAGACUCAAAACUCUGCUUUAUGUGCAUCGAAAAAGGAGCAUUACUAUUUUUGCGUUACUGCACUGUAGACUGAGACAAAACUCUAGUCUGCAGCCAGAAGUUUAUGACCCUUCUCUUGCUGAAGAAAUAAUGCAGUCAUCUGGAUUAGCCGUAAUUAUCAUUUAGGCCUUUUGAAAGCAGCACAGUUAAGAUCAUCAGAAGCAACUAGUGAUUUGCAUAACUUUGUGUUUGCCAGCCACUCAAAGCAUGCACAUACAUACUGCUGGUGCAGCUUCUUGCAAAGAUUCUGAAUUCAGUCUUUACUGUGUUUGAGAUUUUAGUCUAAACUGAGUUGAACAGAGAGCAAUUUCAAGGUAAAACACAAUUUUACCUUCAUGGUAAUAAGUACAUUAAAGUUUUCAGGGUCCAUUAUACAGUUUUAUGGUUGGAAACAUCCAAAUAAUUUAUCAGGAUGUGAUAUAAUAGAUGUGGAAUGUGUUUCUUUAAAAUUGUUUUAAAAAAGGAAGCUGUUAUUCAAACCUUGCUGAACUGCAUAAGGAAGAUAACGGCUGUAAAUCUUGGGAAGAUAAGGCUGAAAGGACUGCAUCUGGCCAGGAUGCUCUAUUCCUGAAAAGAAUGUAACAGAUUAACCACAAAGACAGUCAGCAAUUAGGCUUAAGUCAGACCAAAGGGUGAAAAAGGACAAGAAGAAGAAGACUCUGAGCCUUCAUCUUACAAUCCCAAAGACCACCACCACAAUUCAGGACUCAUGCUAAAAGGGGCUGGGCUAUGGGUGGAGAAUAUGAUAAUAAUCUCUUGGAAGUAAUUAUGAUAUAUCUCCUAUUCAUGGCAUAUGUAUGACUUGUCUCUAUAAAUGUUCUUAACCUCUACCUCAUGGUGUGCAAGCUAGAGAGGGGUUACCUCAUUUGCACCCAGCGUGUAUGUGCAGUGCUGAUUAAAUCACAUUAAAUCACACACAGUUUAUAGCUACUUUGUGGUUAUAGAGUUUGAUUCCACAAGUCAGAUGAUAUCUCUGAUAAAAGUGGAUUUUAUUUGUGAUUGCAAUGGCAGGAGUGCGCUUGCAGAGACGGUGUUACAUCUUUUAUGCCCUAUUACCCAGUGUUUAUCUUUUCCUCCCCUGGUUCCUCAUUUGAGGAAGUAUAUAGCGGCAGCUUUAUGAAUGGCAGAUUAGGGAAGUUUCUAAGGAACCAAGAAGGGAUUAGUGCAUCCUCUGUCAGAGACAGUAAUUAAAUACCAGAUAUCCACAUCAUAGUUUUCUGCUACCAUAAAAUGCAGACUCACAGCAUCUGUCUUUUUUAUCUUAAGUUUGGAAAGAAACACUUUCUCUUCAGUUGUGUAAAUAAGGUACUAACUGCCACACUACUAACUAGAUUUUAAACAGGGAAUGGAGGGUGGAGGAGUCAUUAUCUGGUAAAAUAAUGCCAAGUGCAUAACUAUCCUUGCUUGAUAUUUAUUAUACUGCCAUCAUUAAUAUUUCUUCUCUCAAAAUUAUUCCCAGACUUGAUUCACGUGUUCAUUAAUGUCACAUUUAUUUUUUAUGUGAAAGAAUAAAAGCAAUCGCCAUAGACCACUUACAGUUCAGGAGCACGAAGUACAAGUUUAAAUCAUACGUGCUUCAUGAAUGUACAAUACCUCUUUUAACAUAUUUGCAGUCACGUAAGAAACAACUUUAAUCACUAAAAUAAACUCAUCAAUGUCCUCACUUCUGUUGAAAUCAUGAAUUUGGGCCAUCAUUCUCAGUGUGUAGGUGGUAAAACUUAGUCAUUCAGUCUGGAAGCUGUAGAAGUACCCUGCCUCUUUCCAUAUGAAUCCCUAUUCUGCUUUGUGCCUGUCCAGUGUGUUGGCAAUUUCUUUUAAUAAGGACUGAGGAACAGUCUGUCUCAUUUACAGACUCAGUAAGUCAUAGGUUUCAUUACUCUGCCUUUUGUGAUAUACUUGGCACUCUAAAAGAUAUUGCUAACUAGAUGAUAGUUCAGUAGCCAGCCCUUCUGAUUUACUAGGAUUUUCAUUAAGAAGAUUUACGUACAGGACUAAAUUUCCUUGCUAUGUAAGACAGAAAUGUUAAGAGACAAAGCCUUUAUGAAAAGCAAAAAACUGACAAUUACAAAGUCAACAUAGAAUUUGAUUAGUGAUAGAAAAACUCGAAAACUGAACAGUUCACAGUCCUUACUUGUGUGGGAAUCAAAUGUUGUUUCUGCAUUAGAAUUAGAUAAGAAUUUUUAAUUUCAUGGUCUCCGCUGCCAUAGUUCUUCUUGGGAGUCUUUCUACUAUACUUGGGGGUGGUCUCUGCUAGUUUGCAUCACUUACCUUCUAGGUGAACCUUCCCCAGGAAUGCAUGCUCAGUAUAUAUGCUGAAGUAUAUAUGUAAUUUUUUGUCAUAUACAUUGCAAGAAUAUCCUGCACAAGAUUGAUCAAACCAGAUAAUAAGUGAUGACAUGCCCAAGGAAGCGCCUGAAGAGACAUUGGGAAGUCCUGGCAUCCUCUUACCCCCUGGUACUCUUUGUUUAAUGAAGACUUUGAAGAAAAUCACCGUAUGAGUACGAUAGGAAGAGUACUGAGGCAUCUUGGAAACAACAGCAUGGCUACUGACUGACACCAGAUAACACAAGAAUUAACGAAUGUAAACCUUUGAUAAAACUGUGAACCUGGAGUACCCAGCCAAUGGGGAAACAGGGGAGGGAAUAGGCAAAGGGGGGAAACAAGGUACAAAAGCUGUCACUGUGUACUUAGGGGCACUUCUGCUUGUGGGAGGCCCGCCAUUGCAAUCACAAAUAAAAUUUGCUUUUAUCGGGGAUACCGUCCUGACAAAAUUAUUUGGAUAUUUCCAACAGUUGGAGGAAGAUAAAUUCUAAAAUCUUUGUCAGUUGUUUACCAUGGGUGCUCUGAGAAGUUUAUUCUGUAGAAAGUGGGGUGGCUAUGAUGUCAAAAAUUUUAAGUGUUAAUUUGCUAAAAGGUAAAGUAAAUAAACAGUUUGAAACUGUUAUCAGAGAUAUCAGUGACCUUGCAUGUGAAUAACAAAAUAAAAAAAACUGAGAAAGAUACUUUAGUAGAGAAAGAGUGAUUAAAAGGGAAGGCCCGAUAAUAGUUCUCACUGAUCAGAAAAUAUCUGAACUUUAAAUAAAUAGUCUUUCAUUCCUGUACAAGUUCUGUUCUAACAAUUGAAUCAUACAGUGACUCAGUGAUUGCAAUAAAUUGAACAGGAUUUUUUUUUAAUGAAUAUCCAUGCCAAGAAAUAGUGAGAUGAAAGUAGAUAUUUCUGAUUGUUUGCAAAAAUGUUUCUGUGUAAUUACUUCUGGAAAAAUAUCAUUGCUUUUAUGUUCCCUUGAAGAAUUGCUUUCAAAAUUUGUUUUAUUGCAGUCUUUAUAGAAAAUUCAAGGCUAUAGCUCUGCUGCUUCAAGGCUUCUGUUUUUCUUUUCAUCUGACUAGGCUGUACAUCCAGUGCCUUUGAGUUUUUUCAAGGUUUUCUGUAAUAGUUAUCAUUCCAGCAGAAUGCGUAUUCCAGAAGGCCACUAAAAGGCUGGGGCAUAUCAGUCAGCAAAUAUUGCAACGAUUUG